GAACAUGAUGCCAACAGCAACUAUUGUAAUCAAGCCACCUAUUAAACCUAGUCUCUCUUCCUCCCCAGGGCAUUUCUGGACUGGUUCCAAGCCAAUAAAAUCAAGACGGCGCUGCUGAAUUUAGUUGUUUUGUAUGCUUCCUUGCCAUUCCUUGUCCGGCUGUUUCCUCCCCUGUUGCAAAAGUUUGUCUACCUCAAUUUUUUGAGUUAUCCCUUUUGGGUGGACUUCCAGAAGCCUGAAGCAUAUUUGAACCACACGAGAAACUUCUAUCUAAACUCUGAACCAGGGAUCACUGUCGGCAUCUGGCACGCUUUGCCUGACAAUCGGCGCAAGGAAUCUGAAGGGAAGAGCGAUCUCUGGUAUGAAGAGGCUCUCGCAGAUGAUAAUCCCAUCAUCAUUUAUCUCCAUGGCAAUGGGGGAAACAGAUCAUGAGUGAUAAUGGCUUCCAUGUGCUGGCUGUUGACUACAGAGGUAAGUGGGGCUGGAAAAAUAAAGUCUCUAGAAGAUCCAACCUUUAGCCAUUCCUAUUGGGAAUG
rnacentral:lncRNA from 11 species